rnacentral:miRNA from 1 species
UGGACCUCGCGGCCCUGGAGG